rnacentral:ncRNA from 25 species
GGGUGCUCCGCCAAGCCAUGGCGAGGCAGGUUCCAGCGAAGGUCGGGCCGCCUCG